rnacentral:rRNA from 1 species
AAAUUGAAGAGUUUGAUCAUGGCUCAGAUUGAACGCUGGCGGCAGGCCUAACACAUGCAAGUCGAACGGUAGCACAGAGAGCUUGCUCUCGGGUGACGAGUGGCGGACGGGUGAGUAAUGUCUGGGAAACUGCCUGAUGGAGGGGGAUAACUACUGGAAACGGUAGCUAAUACCGCAUAAUGUCGCAAGACCAAAGAGGGGGACCUUCGGGCCUCUUGCCAUCAGAUGUGCCCAGAUGGGAUUAGCUAGUAGGUGGGGUAACGGCUCACCUAGGCGACGAUCCCUAGCUGGUCUGAGAGGAUGACCAGCCACACUGGAACUGAGACACGGUCCAGACUCCUACGGGAGGCAGCAGUGGGGAAUAUUGCACAAUGGGCGCAAGCCUGAUGCAGCCAUGCCGCGUGUAUGAAGAAGGCCUUCGGGUUGUAAAGUACUUUCAGCGGGGAGGAAGGUGUUGUGGUUAAUAACCACAGCAAUUGACGUUACCCGCAGAAGAAGCACCGGCUAACUCCGUGCCAGCAGCCGCGGUAAUACGGAGGGU